GCUCCCGGAUUCAGCGGCGGACGGGUGAGUAAUGCCUAGGAAUCUGCCUGGUAGUGGGGGACAACGUUUCGAAAGGAACGCUAAUACCGCAUACGUCCUACGGGAGAAAGCAGGGGACCUUCGGGCCUUGCGCUAUCAGAUGAGCCUAGGUCGGAUUAGCUGGUUGGUGAGGUAACGGCUCACCAAGGCGACGAUCCGUAACUGGUCUGAGAGGAUGAUCAGUCACACUGGAACUGAGACACGGUCCAGACUCCUACGGGAGGCAGCAGUGGGGAAUAUUGGACAAUGGGCGAAAGCCUGAUCCAGCCAUGCCGCGUCUGUGAAGAAGGUCUUCGGAUUGUAAAGCACUUUAAGCCGGGAGGUAGGGCUGUAGGCUAAUAUCCUGCAGUUUUGACGUUACCGGCAGAAUAAGCACCGGCUAACUCUGUGCCAGCAGCCGCGGUAAUACAGAGGGUGCAAGCGUUAAUCGGAAUUACUGGGCGUAAAGCGCGCGUAGGUGGUUGAUCAAGUUGGAUGUGAAAGCCCCGGGCUCAACCUGGGAACUGCAUCCAAAACUGGUCGGCUAGAGUACGGUAGAGGGUGGUGGAAUUUCCUGUGUAGCGGUGAAAUGCGUAGAUAUAGGAAGGAACACCAGUGGCGAAGGCGACCACCUGGACUGAUACUGACACUGAGGUGCGAAAGC
rnacentral:rRNA from 1 species